GACGAACGCUGGCGGCGUGCCUAAUACAUGCAAGUUGAGCGAUGAAGAUUGGUGCUUGCACCCAUUUGAAGAGCAGCGAACGGGUGAGUAACGCGUGGGGAAUCUGCCUUUGAGCGGGGGACAACAUUUGGAAACGAAUGCUAAUACCGCAUAAUAACUUUAAACAUAAGUUUUAAGUUUGAAAGAUGCAAUUGCAUCACUCAAAGAUGAUCCCGCGUUGUAUUAGCUAGUUGGUGAGGUAAAGGCUCACCAAGGCGAUGAUACAUAGCCGACCUGAGAGGGUGAUCGGCCAAAUUGGGACGGAGAGAAGGCCCAAACUCCUACGGGAGGCAGCAGUAGGGAAUCUUCGGCAAUGGACGAAAGUCUGACCGAGCAACGCCGCGUGAGUGAAGGAGGUUUUCGGAUCGUAAAACUCUGUUGGUAGGGAAGAACGUUGGUGAGAGUGGAAAGCUCAUCAAGUGACGGUAACUACCCAGAAAGGGACGGCUAACUACGUG
rnacentral:rRNA from 1 species